GUGAAAUGGGGGCUAUGAGGACAAGAGGGUGGGAGGAAGGGUCCCCAUAGCUCUGGGGCACCCACAUAGGGGCUACAUGAUGUUGCACUGGGUGGUCCCACAGCAAUCCUUGAUGAGUGCCAGCCCUGUCUUGGCCACUGUUGGCUUGCUAGGUGGGGGCUCUGCCUUCUUCUCUGCCCGGGAGCCUGCAGCAAUGGAAAAGCAGAGAAAGAAAAACAGAUAAAGGUAAGGAGAAGAAAGCCUUGGCUACUGGCAGUCCAACCCAACCCUACCCAACCCAAACCAAGCCAUAACCAAGCCUUAUCCUGGCGGUGUAGAGAACUGCUAUGCAUUUCCUGCCCAUCAUUCCUGGUCCCUCUUGUUAUUCAUUCUUUAGGUUCCAAGUGCAUGUCAGCCUAUCUCCUAGACAGCUCCUCUCAUCACAUUAGCUUCCAGGUCUAGCACAGGAUAGAUGGAAAGGCUUGUUCAAGGCAAUUCGACAUGAGAGUUCAUACCUUUCAAUUUAGGAAAAUGCUCAUGUUAUCUUCUCAGAACACUGUACUGGUCAUCCUCUUCAGAAUACCUACUAGAUGUAAGUUACAGCUUGCCAUUCAGUCUCCUCUGUGGUAGAAGCUGCUCUAGUUCCCACGACUGACUGUUUGUUCAGAACAGGGCGCCCCUAGAUUCAAGGCUGAGCAAUCUGCUCAAGGCUGCCUUACAUUUUAAGAAGCAUGCUUUCAAAUGUGUUUCCUUAUUCUAUCCACUUAUUUUUUUUCCAGUGGAAGUUUUAUUGAUGAGAUUAAUGUUUCUGAAAGUCUGUUUAUUCUUCUCCGUGUAUCAUUCUACUUCAUCUUGGGGUUUUGUUCCUUGUCUCUUUAACAAUUUCAACAUGCUUAGUUCACUGUCUCCUUAAGAUAGUUCCCUUCAUAAAUCUUUUAAAAAGAAAACGUUAUAGAUUUCUUGUUUUGUUUUUUUGACACAGGGUUUCUCUAUGUAGCCCUGACUCUCCUGGAACUCACUCUGUAGAAUAGGAUGGCCUUGAACUCACAGAGCUCUGCCUGCCUCUGCCUCCCAAGUGCCAGGAUUAAAGGUGUGUGCCACCGUGGCCCUGUUCUUUAUUCAGAAUUUAUGUGUGUGCACAUAUAUGAGUGGGGGGCAUGAGUCUGUGGAGGAGAGAAGACAACUGUGGAGUUCUCUCCUUUCACAUUUACGUGGGUGCUGGAGAUCAAAUGCAGGAUGUCAGCCUUGUGCACAAAGUGUCUUCAUUCACUGAGCCAUGUUGCUGGCCCCUGACAGUUGUCUUCUAUAAGGUUCUUAGAAAGUCAUUUCUUUGUUGCAGUCAUUGACUCCAAUCAUGGUGAUUCAAUUGUUCAUGGGUUUCAAAUUUUUACUAUGAGGUAAUUUUCUGGUGAAGGCUGCAUGCACGAGGUGUGGAUGGCCCUUUUGAGAACUUUUACAAACCUAGUUUUUUUGUGCCACCCGUUAAUGACCUGUGCAAACAAAGUUGUUAGAUGUGGAGAAUACAGAAGGGAUUCCUUUUCCUUACUUGUCACUAAAACCACAAGGCACACAGCCCUGCCUACCGUCAGUGUCUUCAUAGGCCAGACUCUUCUAUAAAACGUCAAAUAGAAAGAUUCUGCCUAAUAGCAUGGUGAAAGGGCACAAUCAUGUUCCUUCUACAUAGCAGUAUGGAUAAAGUAACUAUUUUAACAAGAAAUUAAAACACCAAAUGAACACCACUUGCAAAGGACUUGAUAUGUGGCCAAAUUUCCACCACUGAUUUUAUAAUGGUGUCCC
rnacentral:lncRNA from 1 species